UACGUAGGGUGCGAGCGUUAAUCGGAAUUACUGGGCGUAAAGCGUGCGCAGGCGGCGCGUUAAGACAGGUGUGAAAGCCCCGAGCUUAACCUGGGAAUUGCAUUUGUGACUGCCCGGCUAGAGUGUGUCAGAGGGGGGUAGAAUUCCACGUGUAGCAGUGAAAUGCGUAGAGAUGUGGAGGAAUACCGAUGGCGAAGGCAGCCCCCUGGGAUAACACUGACGCUCCAUGCACGAAAGGCGUGG
rnacentral:rRNA from 1 species